AGAGUUUGAUCCUGGCUCAGGAUGAACGCUAGCGGCAGGCUUAACACAUGCAAGUCGAGGGGUAUAGUUCUUCGGAAUUAGAGACCGGCGCACGGGUGCGUAACGCGUAUGCAAUCUACCUUUCACAGAGGGAUAGCCCAGAGAAAUUUGGAUUAAUACCUCAUAGUAUUACGAGAUGGCAUCAUUUUGUAAUUAAAGUCACAACGGUGAAAGAUGAGCAUGCGUCCCAUUAGCUAGUUGGUAAGGUAACGGCUUACCAAGGCUACGAUGGGUAGGGGUCCUGAGAGGGAGAUCCCCCACACUGGUACUGAGACACGGACCAGACUCCUACGGGAGGCAGCAGUGAGGAAUAUUGGACAAUGGGCGCAAGCCUGAUCCAGCCAUGCCGCGUGCAGGAUGACGGUCCUAUGGAUUGUAAACUGCUUUUGCACAGGAAGAAACAACUCUACGUGUAGAGUCUUGACGGUACUGUGAGAAUAAGGAUCGGCUAACUCCGUGCCAGCAGCCGCGGUAAUACGGAGGAUCCAAGCGUUAUCCGGAAUCAUUGGGUUUAAAGGGUCCGUAGGCGGUUUAGUAAGUCAGUGGUGAAAGCCCAUCGCUCAACGGUGGAACGGCCAUUGAUACUGCUAGACUUGAAUUAUUAGGAAGUAACUAGAAUAUGUAGUGUAGCGGUGAAAUGCUUAGAGAUUACAUGGAAUACCAAUUGCGAAGGCAGGUUACUACUAAUGGAUUGACGCUGAUGGACGAAAGCGUGGGUAGCGAACAGGAUUAGAUACCCUGGUAGUCG
rnacentral:rRNA from 1 species